rnacentral:rRNA from 1 species
UCGAGGAUCUUUCGCAAUGGGCGCAAGCCUGACGAAGCGACGCUGCGUGAGUGAUGAAGGCCUUCGGGUUGUAAAGCUCUUUCGCGCAAGAACAAGGAAGAAAUGUGAAUAACAUUUCGACUUGAGGGUACUGCGUAAAGAAGCACCGGCUAACUCCGUGCCAGCAGCUGCGGUAAUACGGAGGGUGCAAGCAUUAAUCGGAAUUAUUGGGCGUAAAGGGCGCGUAGGCUGAUAGACAAGUCAGAUGUGAAAUACCAAAGCUCAACUUUGGUGCUGCAUUUGAAACUGUCUGUCUAGAGGGUUGACGGAGAAAACGGAAUUCCACGUGUAGCGGUGAAAUGCGUAGAUAUGUGGAAGAACACCAGUGGCGAAAGCGGUUUUCUAGUUUAUACCUGACGCUGAGGCGCGAGAGCAAGGGGAGCAAACAGGAUUAGAUACCCCGGUAGUCC